rnacentral:rRNA from 1 species
GCACAAGCGGUGGAGCAUGUGGCUUAAUUCGAUGCGACGCGAAGAACCUUACCAGGGCUUGACAUGCACAGUGCCGCAUCAGAGAUGGUGCUUCCUUUGGGGUUGUGCACAGGUGGUGCAUGGUUGUCGUCAGCUCGUGUCGUGAGAUGUUGGGUUAAGUCCCGCAACGAGCGCAACCCUCGUCCUGUAUUGCCAGCAACACCUUUCGGGGUGGUUGGGGACUUGCGGGAGACUGCCGGGGUCAACUCGGAGGAAGGUGGGGAUGACGUCAAAUCAUCAUGCCCCUUAUGUCCUGGGCUGCACGCAUGCUACAAUGGCCGGUACAGAGGGCUGCGAUGCCGUGAGGCGGAGCGAAUCCCGGAAAGCCGGUCUCAGUUCGGAUCGGGGUCUGCAACUCGACCCCGUGAAGUCGGAGUCGCUAGUAAUCGCAGAUCAGCAACGCUGCGGUGAAUACGUUCCCGGGC